CGCAGCCGCGGUAAUUCCAGCUCCAAUAGCGUAUAUUAAAGUUGUUGCAGUUAAAAAGCUCGUAGUUGAAUUUCGGGAUUAGUACGCUGGUCAUGCCUUUGGUAUGUACUGGUGUUACUGGUUCCUACCUUCUGAAGAACCGUCAUGUCAUUAAUUUGGUGUGGCGGGGAAUCAGGACUGUUACUUUGAAAAAAUUAGAGUGUUUAAAGCAGGCUCGCGCUUGAAUACAUUAGCAUGGAAUAAUGAAAUAGGACGUUUGACCCUAUUUUGUUGGUUUCUAGGAUCGACGUAAUGAUUAAUAGGGAUAGUUGGGGGCAUUAGUAUUCAAUUGUCAGAGGUGAAAUUCUUGGAUUUAUUGAAGACUAACUACUGCGAAAGCAUUUGCCAAGGAUGUUUUCAUUAAUCAAGAACGAAAGUUAGGGGAUCGAAGACGAUCAGAUGCCGUCGUAGUCUUAACCAUAAACUAUGCCGACUAGGGAUCGGAUGAUGUUAUUUUAAUGACUCAUUCGGCGCCUUACGG
rnacentral:rRNA from 1 species